GCGCCUGGGUGGCUCAGUUGGUUAAGCGACUGCCUUCGGCUCAGGUCAUGAUCCUGGAGUCCCAGGAUCGAGUCCCGCAUCGGGCUCCCUGCUCGGCAAGGAGUCUGCUUCUCCCUCUGACCCUCCCCCCUCUCCUGCUCUCUCUCUCUCUCAUUCUCUCUCUCAAAUAAAAUCUUAAAAAAAAAAAAAAAUCAGGGGCACCUGGGUGAUGCAGUCAGUUGAGCAUCAGACUCUUGAUUUCAGUUCAGGUUAUGAUCUCAGGAUCAUGAGAUCGAGCCCCAUGUCAGGAUCCACGCUCAGCGGGGAGUCUGCUCGGGAUUCUCCCUCUCCCUCCAUCCCCUCCCAACCCAGCUUGAGUGUGCACGCGUGUGCGGGCUCUCUCUCUUUCAAUCUUAAAAACAAAAUCAGGGACGCCUGGGCGGCUCAGUUGGUUAAGUAUCUGCCUUCAGCUCAGGUCAUGAUCCGGGGGUCCUGGGAUAGAGGCCCGCAUCAGGAUCCCUGCUGAGUGGGGAGUCUGCUUCUCCUUCUCCCUCUGCCCCUCCCUCUCUCGCGUGUGCAAGCGCUCGCUAACACUCUCAAAAAAAAAAAAUCAAGUUUUACACCUUAAACACAGUUGACCCUUGAACAAUAGGGACAGGCGGACAGAAGGACGGAAGGGAGGGAGGGAAGGGGGCGGGCUCACUCAGGGGUGAGGCUUCACUUGGCUGUAGCCCUGCCUCGUUCCUCUGGGGAGACAACUAGCAGGUGCCACCCUCAUCUUCGGAGAGACGGGGACUGAGCUCAGCCCCUCUUCUGCUGCCUUCUUCCAUUUCCCACACUGACCAGAAGACAGAGCCCAGCUAAGUAUGCACUGCUUGCGGAGAACUUCCCACAGCGGAAACUCUGUGGCACAAAGGAGAUAGGUCCUGCUUGCAAUCCCGGAAGACAAACAGGGUGUUAGGGGAAACUACGGGAACCUGAGUAAGUAUGGACUUCAGUGAAGAGUCCUGUUCGCUGUCACACAGGUACCUACGAAUGCAAGAGACUAAUCAGGGAAACUGUGUUAGGUGGCAGGCAUAUACGUGGGAACUCUCCGUCCUGUCUUCUCAAUUUUUCCUAAAAUUAAACUGCUCUAAAAAAAAAAAAAAAAAAAAAGGCUAGGGGCGCAUGGGUGGCUCAGUUAAGUUCCUGCCUUUGGCUGGGGUCAUGAUCCCAGGGUCCUGGGGUCGAGCCCCAUGUUGGGCUCUCUGCUUGGCCUGCUGCGCCCCCUGCUUGCGCACUCUCUAUCUGCCAAACAAAUAAAUAAAGUCUUUAAAAAAAAAGGCUCUGAAUCCUGCGGGUUUGGAAAAGUCCCUGCCAGGAAGCCCAUGGUAAGGGAUGUGGCUCAGGGUGGUCUCUGAACACAGCCGCAGAGCUCUUCUGACAGGCAGGAGGGACCCCAGAUCCCAGCCGUGCACCUCCUCUGCUCCCCAGGAGCUUCAGUUUUGCAGUGAAAAGGUCGAGGGCCCUGGGGAACUGGGCUGAAGGUGCACAGGGCUCCUCCCGUGGAGCUGUAAAUCCAGGCUCCUGGGCCGCUCGCUUGCUCCCUUUCUCCUGUGGAGCUCACCCGGCCAGGCAGGCGGGUUAUCAGCAAGGGCAGAGGAAGCCCCAGCUGGGUCCCUCUCCCCCAGCUCAGGUGGCCUGAUGCAGCCCAGCCCAGCGGCUGCCCACAGACCCCUAGGCCAGAGCCUGCCAACAGGGAGUUAGGAACCUUUGCACCCUUUUCAAGUCACACACCCCUUGGAAAUUCUCCAGGCCCCCCGAGGCUGGGGGCCUUCUGGGAGAAACCAGCCUUCCCAGCUGUCCUGCCCGCGUCCUUAGAGCGGCGGUUCUUCCAAGCCUCGGGAUCACCCACUUCCUUUAUCGAGGUUCAGACCUUCCCUGAAGCCCCUCAAGGAUGUCCUCCCUCCUUUUGGAAAGACCUAAGCGGAACAGCGCCGGUUCUCCGUCGGGCGCCAGAGUAGCCCGCGGGCAGGUGAUCUCCCAUCUUGCAGAAGCCCCCGAGUCACAGACGUCGCUCCCCAUCAGAGGCCGACGGCCCGGCCACAUCGCUCGCAGACGCGGCCCGGGAAGACGCGGGGCAGCCCCGCGCCUCCUUCCCGGCGACUCGCCUCGCCGGGCGCAACCUCCGGCCAGGUGAGGAGCCGCUGCGUGCCCAGGGGGAAGCCGAGCGAGUCUCCGCGGCCCCCAAAAGCCCUGGGCCGGACGCCCGCUCGCCGACCGGGUCGGAACCCGCGGGCUCCGCGCCCCCCGCCCCAGCACCCCGACGCACGUGCGUCCUGGGGAGGCGGGCUCACCUGGCGCCGCCCGGCUGGCUCCCGCCCCACCUUAAAGCGCAAGACCCUCCUGGGUCACAACGCCCCGAGUGCACCCUGUACUCUGCAGACACGCGCCAGUCGGCCCAGUGUUGGGGGAAGGGGGCAGGUCAAGGGUGCAGAGGGAGAAAACUCCUCUCUUAAAGUGUGCGUUUUCAGGUGGGAGAUCGAGACCCUACAGAGGAUUGGGAGACCCUGGCGCCCUGCCAAUCCCGAGUGGGAGACCGCCCGGGAGGGGCACUUCGGGACAGUUCGGGAGAAGCACGCCCAGAGAGAGAGAGAGAAUAAGCAGGGGGAGCGGCAGGCAGAGGGAGAAGCAGACUCUCCGCUGAGCAGGGAGCCCAACGCGGGACUUGAUCCAGGACCCUGGGAUCAUGACCUGAGCCGAAGGCAGACACUUAACCAACUGAGCCACCCAGGUGCCCCGAACAAGAAAGUUUUAAAUUAUGCUCUGAAUUCGUUUAUUUUGGCAUCAUUUCUGACUGUCACUAAAGUGGCAAGAACAGACACCUCGGGCGAGUCCCCGAGCACGCCGCACCCAGUGGCCGGGCCCCUGUGGGCGCUCUUACAUGAAGCCACGGCGUUGGUGACGCGGAGAGGACAGACGUCUGGUGGAAUGUCCCUGAUUCGUCCGAUGUCUCCUUGUGAUUGGCGCGGGAUGGCCUCCUGGGGAAGGCACGGGGGUGACGGGGGUGUCUGCGUGGCCCCUCUCCGGCGGGGAUUCUCCGCUGUGAAGCUGCAGGUUUUACGCUUUGUAACUAAGAGAGAGAGCAUGCGCAUACAAGUAGGCAGAGAAGCAGAGGGAGAGGGAGAAGCCCUCGCGGAGCAGGGAGCUCGAUAUGAGGGACGCAAUCCCAGGACCCUGAGAUCAUGACCUGAGCCGAAGGCAGACGCUUCACCGACCAGAUGCCCCAACACCCUGUUUUCUGUCACACGAGGUGUUUCAGGCCCAUCUGGACCCCCUGCCCCAGUCCUGGGAUGGGGACAUUUCUCCAAUGGGCCCGAAUUCCUGUGCAGAGGUCCCAGCCCCCACACCUAAGAAUGUAACUGUGUUUGUAGGUAGUUAAUGAGGUGACAAAGUGAAAAUGAGGCCAUUAGGGUGACUGACCUUUGGCCAGGCUCCUCUGACCUCUUCUUCACUAGCCCCCAGCCCUGUCCCCCCGCCCGCUCCCCCCCACCCCGCUUGAGCCUGCCUUGCCAGGUUUAGCAAGAAUCCUACUGAGUUUAGAGAGACACCCCCCUAUUCAAUCACUGUCAUACCUGAUCAAGUGCCUCACGUCCCCUGACCCCCCCCCCCCCGCAUGGAGAAGCCCCUGGCCCACCUCCCUGCCUUUAGCAAGAAGGUGCCCAGCCCUGAUGCUCCCCUGCUCCCUGUCUGCCCCCAGCUGUCCUCAUAUUUGGCGCUGAGCCCAAACUCUCUCUCUACAGCCACAGGCCCACUGCAAGAGUCUUGAAUAGAGUCUCCCUUCCGGGGACGCCUGGCCGGCUCGGCGGAGCGAGUGACUUUUCAUCUCCGGGUCGUGAGUUCCAGCCCCACACUCGGCAUAGAGAUCACUUAAAGAAAAAGAAAGUCUUCCUUACCAUUUCAUCCAGCAUCAUCAUAAUAGAUUCCUUAACAAGAGGGGGGGCCCUGGCUUAAACAACACACAUUUAUUUCUCACAUUCUGGAGGCUGGCGGUCCAAGAUAAGGCUCAGGCCUGGGGAGGGCUGCUUCCCUGGCUCGCACACACGGUGGGGGGCGGGCAGGGAACCAGCUCUCCAGUCUCUUCUUAUGAGGC